rnacentral:lncRNA from 1 species
GCCUGGCACAGGACAAAUCUCCGGUGCAUUUAAGUCAGUUGCUCGCCAUCGUCAUUCCCCUCACGUGUGAGCACAGCUUUGCAGACCACGAGCCCCGCGGUAGACGGUCUUUAUCACAUCGUGGCCCCAGGCUUCUGCGUUCCAGCACCUGUGUGACUCUGCCCAGUCUGCAUCGCCACAGGGAUCGAUAUAUGAAGAAAUAGUUAACACGGUAACUGUCUGAUCCUUGUUAUGGAUUUUUUAGCCAUUUGAGGCUCUGGGGGCUUCCUCGCUUUGAGUCAGUACUUACUAAAUUUAGCUUUUCUAGUUUUGGGUAUUAUGCUUAUAAAGAAUUGAGGUGGGUGUUAAAAUUAUCAUUUGGGAAAAUUCUCCUAUUGCCUGUUUUUCUAGUUCAGAUUGCAGUCCUGUCCUGUGGUCCUGACAGCUCUUGAACAUGCACACAUGUGUGUUUGCUGCAUUAAAGUCACACAAAAUUCUUUCACUGAUGACAAUGGACAGCCUUAUUUUAUAGGUUGCUUGUACUUGAAAAGCCCACCCCUCCCCAUAUUUAUAAUUUAUUACUUUGAAUGAAAUGGGUUCAUCAUUGUGCUUUUUUGCCUGAAUCACAUCCCAACUGGACUACAUAGACCAUCAUGUGAAGAAGUAGAAAAUAACUUGUUUACACUAAAAACAAACCUGCCAAUAUAUUUUAGCUGAACAGUGUACUAUAAAUAGUAAGCUAUUUGCUAACAGUUUCCAUUUUAAACUUAGAAUUGCUGCUGAUGGAUACUAACUUGGCACUAUUCCUGGGAGCUUUGCUUCAGCCAUUUAGUUGUUAGAUAGCAGUUAAAAUAUAUAGGACCUUCACAUUCGGAGAAACUACUGUCGAUGGGGCAAAGGAUAAACUUGUCUGCAAUAUGAAUCCACAAGUAUUUUUAAAAUGAAUGAAAAUUUGCAUUGAUUCUUUGCCAUUAAUCAAGGUAAGAGAGUCUCUUUCAACAUUUCUGUGUUACUUACAAAUCAAAGAUAAACUUACAGAAAAGUAAUACACUAAUGCUUUUGGACGAUCAUGAUUUCUUUCUUUAUACUUUUCUUGUCUGGUGCGUCAUCAGAUUACAGAUGUGGAUAUAUUCUCUGGUUCUUCCUCUCGUUUCAAUCAGAAUUUAGCCAGGGUUCCUCGCUGAAGAUCAUGUUCACAGGAAUUUCUGUUUCUUUUUCCUCAGCACUGGGGGUUAAACCCAAGGGUGCCUACCACUGAGCUACAUCCCUCGCCCUUUUUAAAAGCCUUAUUGAGACAGGGUCUCACUGUGUUCUCGGGCUGGCCUUGAACUUUCGAUCUUCCUGCUGAGCUCAGACUUCCAUGUCACCAGGAUCACAGGUGUGUACUGUAAUGCCCAGAGAAAUCUCCCAGUUUUUAAAACCACAGACUAAUAGGUGAAAGGGCUCAGUUAUUUUUUCAUUACAGCAGCUUUUCUGGUGUUGAUGGUAGGUAAAAAUAAUAAGAUUUUUGUUUGUUUGUUUGUUUUGGUACCGGGGAAUCAGCUCGGGUCCUUGUGCUUGUGCAGCAGGUGACGAAUCCACUGAGCUAAAUCCCUGGCCAAUAAAUAAGACUUUUUAAAACUUCAUUUGGCAAAGUCUGCUGAGAACUAGAAAGAUGGUUUGUUUUUUAAAUAAAUGUUUUGACAUAGAUGUAGUUGAAAGGGAAUGGAAAAUCAUUUCACAGUUGAUAGAUAUCAGAACAAACUUUCAGCUCAUGACUGGAGUUGAAGUAUGUCAUCUAUACACUAGUUUUAUGUUGCAUACUAUAAAUAUGCAAUGAAAUACAGGACAGCUUUGUUCACAUUUGAAUCAUUAGAGAAGCUUUGGACAAAACCCCGGGCCUCUUGACGACGUAAUCUGUGGGACUGAAACUUAGGCAGGCAUCUGUGUUCGGGAGCCCUAAGGUGAUUCUAAUGCUCGCCUCGGCUGCAGAGUUCCCAGUAAAUGCUUUGGCAGUUGACACACGGGAACGUGCACAGUAUCACACACAUGUGCAGAUAUGCAGGUGCACAAAGUUACAGACACAGAGAGCAAACUGCCAUUCUUUAUGUUGCAUUGUGAAUUUUACUCUAAUAGUGACAUUUAUUAUCAGAAGGGUAACAUUCAAUGAGCUGAGGACCCGAGUUCUCAGGGCCCUUACGGAGCGAUCCCCUGACUUCCCCCAAUACUCACACGGGUGUGUUUUCUCCAUUUUAACGGUCAGCAGCCGAGGCACAGUGAUGCCAAGUCCCUUCUCCAGAGCCACAGCACUGGUAAGUUAUGGAGCCAGACUUUGAAAAUGAGCCCUGGAUUUCAGGUUCUCAGCUGCUUGUCGUUUGCUGCACUGCCUUUAGUAGCUCUUCCUGGGUACUCUGUGGUUUUAAGGGGGAAAAAAAUGCAUGCUGCUUAGCACUGCUUUGGAAAUAAAGAUAAGGUCAUCAGAAAUUUCUGUCACUGUUUCAGUCUGACUUGGUACAAGAAAUCUAAUUUGCUAAAAUCGUUCUAUGUUUUAAUAGUUUUUAAAAUUAAAUGCAUCCUGGGUUAAAAGAGAAAGUUCGACUAAUGUGCAGAAAUCUCAGCGAUUACCUGGAAGUUUCUAAGCAGUAAGGAGCCUACCUCCUCCGCCUCCCCCCCCCUUUUUUUUUAAAGUAAUGUAGGCUAAAGAUCAAAUCUUUUUGCCCUGGGGGCUCUUGGUUCUCUGAUUUCAGCACCACGCUUGGCCGAGGACCAAGCUGGGCGGCCGGCAGAGGGCAGCCGCGUCCCGCGACUGGGCUCCUCUCCCGGGGCGCUGUGUGAACCGGGGUCUUUCUCCUGGUGUCCCUUACUGGUCCUGAAAGGCCAUCGGUGCCUUUAUCUGAAUGAGGACUGGAUCGAUCUCGUCGGGGAACCCGAGCCCGGGCCGGGGGCUCUGUUGCAUAGGCGCCGGGCCUGCGCGGGCCUGCAGGGCUUGUGCGGACUCCGGAGGCGACGACCCAGGACUUUCUGCAACACUUCCUGUAGAUCUGCUUCACAGACCGCCACCAGCGAAGGCCGGCUGGGCCUGGCGCUCUCCGCCUAAUACACCAUGUAAUGCGGCGCAGAUGGAGAGUUGUCUUUCGCCAAAUCAUUCCCCCGAGAGGCUGGUGGGCCCCCGGCUGUCUGCUGCACGGAGCGAGGCCCGGGUCCGGGUGCCCUGCUUCGCAAGGCCUCGUGAGCCAUAGUUAGCAGAGAAAACAGUGGUGCUGCCCCUUCCCUCCACACCCAUUUGAGCAUCCUGGCUGCUCUUUGCCUUACGUGGAAUUACACGGAACUAUUCAGACGGCUGUAAUCCAGACAGCUGCCUAGAUGAACAUGCGUUUUUGGAUUGAGGUUUCCAGUCAGAAGUUCUAGCAGAGCCAGAGCCCUGUGUCUGCAGGCCCCAGACCCUGGGGAUGUUCCCGGCGCUGUCUGAGCUGAAAGACACGGAGAAAUGCUCUGUGACGCUGACGCUCUCAGGUCUCUGUGAGUGCUACUCGGAUAACCUGGGGCACAACUGCUCUACACGCUCUUUGCUGAGGUGGUUUUUUUUUUAAUCAUUGGGCCAGAAUCCGAGGAAAUACGUUUUCGGAAACAGGACACCUUGUUCAGAAGUUGACAGGUGCAAGCACAUAUUUGUGUUCCUGAGAGCAAGUGAGGAGGGAGAUGGGCUGGAAGCUCGCAUUUGUGGAAGCUCCUUUCCUCUCUAGCUGGUCUCGGGGGGGGAAGGUGAUGAAGGCCGACCCGGCGUUAGCUGUGAUUGUCCUGGGUGAAGCAGUGUGAAGCAAGGAGGCAUCGUGGGCACCGUGGGUGCCUUCACACUGGCCAAGCAAGGGCAGGAGAGCUGCUUGCUGUUGAUUCGUGGGGGUUUCUUUAUACUCCAUCACCAGGAAAUCAGUGACACUUAUCCAAGGCCUUCUAGUAAGGUAGUUCAUGGAAUAAGUCUGUUUUAUGGACAAGCUGCCAUCCAAUCACUAUUUGACAGUUUAAAACAAAGGAGACUAUCAAGAUAGUCAGUUUUGUUCAGUGAAUAAAAGAAAGUUGUCCUCACGCUAUUUCUACAGAGUCCAGGCAGCUCUGGAGCUGAGGUAGUAUCAGCGGUCCACAGGAAGUUGGAUUUAGUGCUAAGAAUCAAACUUCUGUAGGCUACUUUUUAGAUCCACAAGAUAUCAUUCCCAAUUUUAAUUAAAUAUCAGAAACUUAAAAUCUAUUAACUAAUUCUUUAAUUCAAGAAAUAUUCCAGUGCUUACUUUAUGUAGGUGAUGUACCAAUGAACAAGGAAGAUGUGGCCUCAUGCCCAAGGAUUCAGAUUUUUCCAGGGGUCAGAAAGCUUAAACAACUAACUACACUGUCAUUAAAAGUUAUAAACAAGUAAGUACAAAAUGGUUUUUAAAGUAUACCAUGCUAUUUGUGCUAAAGAAGUAUAAAAGUCAUGACGAUAUUCAGAGUCUCACACAAUCUGGGAUUUCAAAGAAGAGCUCUUUAAAGUUAAUUUAAAUUUCUUUAUCUAAAAUAAGAUUUUGACAUACACAUUAUCUAUUUACACUGAUGGAUGUGGGCUUUUUAUUUAGACAGAAUGUCUAUAGAAUAACUGAAGGAGAAAAAUAUGCAAGAACUAAGAAAAAAAUUGGUAACUUCUGCUUUGAACAAAUAUAGAUAGAUCAGAUCAGUGCUAUAACCUCUCCCCAAAUCUCUUACAUGUGAGAAGUCAUAUAUCCAUUUAGAUGGGAGAAAUUAUAUUUGUCUUUUAGAAAUGUAUUUAACUAUCAUUUAAAUAAACUAAAAUUGGUUUUUAUGUUACUUUGGAAGAUGAUCCACAACAGAACCAUACAAGUUGAGUAAGUUUUCCUGGAAAUGAACAGGCUAAAAGUUGGGAUGAUUUCCUAAGGAAAAACAUGUUGGGUAUGGAGGAACAAAAAUCUACAGAAAAAACAUUAUAGAAAAACAAGUCAGAAAGAUAUGUGAUGCUCUAUGUAUUGCUUUGUCUGUUCUUGUGAAAGGUAAAUGAGACCUUUACAACAUAAACACUAGCUCAGAGUUUGAGGGAGACAAAAAGCCAUUCAUACUUUUUUGAUUACAUUCUUAUACCUUUCCAAAUAUAAAGGAUUAGUGAAUGAGGAUAGAAUUUGAUUUUAAUAAUGGAAGUUUUUAAAGACUUUCUGGAAAUGUCUGAGAACUGGAGAAAGAGAGAGAGAGAGAGAGAGAGAGAGAGAGAGAGAGAGAGAGAGAGAAUGAGAGCUUGUUCUUAAUUUUAUUUUGUGUUUAGUUCCAAGAAAUCACUUCAAAGAAAUCUUCUAAGAAAUCGUUUGCAAUCUCCCUGAUGUAUAGUAUAUAAAGAUGUUUGGAGCAAAUAGUUAAAUUCGAGAAUGUUUUACGCUCCUUAAUAGUGAUGGAUGUUUUCCUUGAUACUUCACCCUUGGCUGCUCUUCAAACAUAGUGCUACUGAUGAUGUUUAAUGAACUAGCUUUAUUUGUUGUGGUGAAAUAAGAAAAGAUUUGCUAAAUCUUUGAACUCAUAAAACAUUAUUAAUAUUAUGAAAAGGACAGUGACCACCUGCCCUCUGUCUCCGUUGAAGCAGAACAUGAGGAAAUACACUGCAGUAUGAGGCAGUUAUGUUAGAAUAACUGAGAAAUUUCCUGGCAGGGGCGUUAAGCAUUGCAAUGAAUCAGGAAGAAGGUUGUGAACUCUUCUUAGAGUCUGAUUCCCUUAUUAAAUAGCAUGAUCUAUCUUCGGUGUUGCUAGUCUCACCUGUAAGCUGGUAAACCUCUCAAGCUUUAGCUGUCUCCAGUAUUUCAUGAAGAUGUUCGUGUCAGAGGGAGGACCAGGAAAAGCUAACAAAAUCAAACAAUAGCCGAGAUUCGGUGAGUGUUUGUUCUGUGCUAGGCUCUGUAUGAAGAACUUUAUAAGCACUCUCCCAUUUGAACAUGGCAAUGGCCCAGGUAUUUCAGCCCCUAUGGGUUCUGUGAACAGACGCUGACUGCUACACACCAGCAGAUUUGUUUCUUAAAAUUACCAUCAACUCAAAAAUGUAUGAUGAAGGUUUAUAGACAAAUCAUCAUUGGUGAUGCUAUCCUCAUUUUGAGAAGGAGUUCUCUAGCCUGGAAAGGACUGGGUCAGGUCUCUUUGGAGGUACAAAGGUAACAGAGCACCUGGCUCUUGAGAUACUCAUGUGUCAGAGGCUUCGUGUUGUUUUUGAUGAUGUCACUAUGGGUGCUCCAAAGUUCAGAUUUCAACUUGAAAAAUUCAGUGAGCUGAAGAUCACAUUUCCCCUCCCAGAGGCAGAACACACUUCUGCAAAAGAAUAACUUAUGUUCUUGAUAGCACUUGACCUUGAAAGCUCAAAUACCUAUGUCCUUCCCACUGUUCUUUCUUCUUCUGAAACAAACCUUCACCCCAGGUUUUCGUAGUGGCUAAGUCUGAGGUCUGGCCUGACUUUGCCAGAUUUUUGUGAUGAGUCUUACUUUUGCACUUACUCCUUGUGCUUUUUACAUUGUAAUCUUAGCAACAGGGACAGGCCUUGAUUUAACAGCCUCAUGGUAAGUCUGCCCAGAGGUUUUGCCAAUGGAAAUGUAGAAAGUCCAGUGGCAAGAAAUAGUUAUGAAAACAUGCACAGUGGCGAAUACUUCGCUAGAACCCCCUGAGUUCAGGAAACUAAACAUUUUCCUCUGUUGAUAGAGCUUCCCGACUGCAUUCCUUUCCUCUAGCUCUGUCUGCCGUUUCCAGGAGGUCUAAUCUAAAUUACGUGAAUAUCAGAUGCCCCCAAGGGCCGAGUACAGAACAAGAGCUGCAGGAGUCACAGCUCUAAUGGGGGCCAUCGAGUCACCACCAUGCAACCCACACAGACUUCAAGACUGAAACAGUUUUCUUGAUGACUUUAAAGUUGUUUCAAAUAAGUUUUUCCCACUUUCUUUCUCUUUCUCCCUUUCCCUUUCUCUUUCUUUCUUUCUCCUCCCCCCUUCCCUCCUCUUUCUUUCCCUUCCCUUCUCUUCAUUUUUUCCCCUCCUCCUUCUUCUUUCCCUCUCCUCUCCCUCCUCCAUUUUAAAGAAAAGCCUCAAUAAAAAAAACAACACAGCAGUAUCUAUAAGGUCAGAUAUUUUCAUGGCUUGGGUAGCUCUCAGAAUAUAAAUUAUGCACCUUGAAAACAAGGAGUAAAUAACUUACUAAUUUUAUCAUUGCCUUCUAGGCUUUGUUUACAUUUAUUUACAUAUUUAUUUAUUUUUAGAAUUUUGCCAUUUCGUCCACGUAGGCCAGUGGCCUUUAAUCUCUUCGGCGCACAGGUGAGCAGGGUAACACGGUGGACACCUGUUUGCUCUCUAAAGUUAGGUAGUCCUGACUGUUAACAGUGCGAAUAGAUUUUCUUAAUAGUUGAGGGGUGCAGCAGAUUACAAAAUGCUUCCUUCAGAACAGCAGGAUGUGAUGCAGAGUAUUCACGUGGUGAAUUAUGAAUGUUCCUAUAAGUUUGAUCAAGUGAUGGGAUCUCCAGCGAUCAAGAGAGGAAUCACUUCCAUCACAGAAAAGACUUUGGAGUCAUUCAACUCUUUACUGAUGAGUGAAACCCUCACAGGCUGUUUUCCCAAAGCAGCAGAAACAUCGAGGAGCAAACACAGAUCCUCUGUAAAAGAAGCGGCAAUCAAUCUAUUGAUUCAUAAUGGAGAUUGAAUGGUGAAGAAUUUUAUACUUUACAUAUUUAAAACAUUUUAACGUUUUUACAAAAAAGACAAAAUGAAGCAAAUUAGCUACAAAUUAUUUUGUUUAUUUAUCUAUAAUUAUGUUUUUUGGUUUAUUUUACUUUUGAAAUUAAUUUUUUGCCAAACUUUUUACUUUGAAAUAACUUUAUAGAAAAUUUGCAAAGAUAGCGCAGAAGGUCCUCAUAUAUUUAUUGUCCAGUUCCACUGUUUUUACUAUUGUGUUUAUCAUGUACAUUUUUCAUAACUAAGAAAUCAACGUUGGUGUGUUACCAAACUCUACUAACCAAACUCCAUAUUUCUUUCAAAUUUAACUAGUUUUCCUAUGAAUCCCUUUUUUCUACUCUAGAAUUCAGAGUUGAAGUAGAAAGUGCACUUUGUUAUGUCUCUUUGGUGUUCCGUGGUCUGUGGCAUCUUUUUCAUGACUUUCAUAGUUUCAGGUACUGGUCAGGGAUUUUUGUACAACAUUCCUCAUUCUGGCUCUGUCUGUUAUUUUCUCACGAGUAGACUAGAGUUAGGGCUGUUGGGUAAGAAGACCACAGAGGCAAAGUGCUCUUAUAUCACAUCAUAUCAGGGGUACAUGCUGUAAACAGGACUUACCACUAUUGUUGAAGAACAAAAUGUCAAUAAUUAUGUCAAUACCUUCAAAGAUCGAAUUGGCUUUUAUUACUGAUUCUUGUGCUGAGAAAUAUCCAGUCUCCAAACAACCUCCAAUGAGCCAGAGAGAGUGGACAAGUUGUAGAGGCAGCAAAAAGCAGAGGAAAUCAAAAACACUGAUCAGGUAGUGAAUCGGUUCUUUCACCAUUAUUGUCCCUGAAGGAGUGCAAAUGAAGUCUUGUUGGCCACCAUCUGUCAUCUGAUUUUCAUAAAGUCAAAUCUCUUCUACUCUUGGAGGUCAUAUCUUUUUUGUAUUCAAUUCCUGCUAAGUUUAUUGUUUUUCUCUCAGUUUUUAUUUUUAAUUAGUACAUGUUUCCAAUACACAGUGAUCAUAUUCCUUACAGGAAGUUGGCACAUGCACAUGACACAUCUCAAUCCAUUUUCAACCCCUUCCCAUUCUCUUUUCUCCUUCCUUCCAUCUCUCAAUCCUCUUCCCUUAUAAGAAAGAUCUAUUUCCAUAGUUCUCAUUAUCUAUCCUUUAUUUGCUCUUCAUUUAAAUUUUGGCUUUCUUAUAAGAGAAACCAUGUGAUAUUUAAGCUUGUGUGUCUGAUUCAUUUCACUUAACAUUAUGGUCUCAAGGUGCAUCCACUUUCCUACAAAUGGCUCAAGUUUAUUCUUUAUGGAAGGUCAGAUCUUGCAAGCAAACAACCUAAGUUUCAUGGUGAUGUGGAAUCUUAGCAUGAGUUACAGUAUUUUGGCCUGCUGCUUUUUCUUUAAACAUUUGUCACUGUUUAAAAUUAUCAGCAUUUCAAAGGUACUCUCUCUCCCCUUUAAUAUUCUAUGGAAGCAAGUCCAGCCCAGCUUUAAGAUUUAAUACUGUCUCACAAUUAUUCAUUCAGAUGACCAGUAGAACUGAAGACAUAAGACACAGUGCUUUGAGUUUCUUAGAGAAAAGGUAUAAAUAAAUGUAAAUGGAACCAUGGAUCUCCUGAUCUUCACUGAGUCGCUUUCUCAUGUUGGAAUAUGACAUUCAGAGCAGGCAAAAGUAAUCAGUAUUUUCUGUCUAUCACUUAGGAUGAAAGAAAGCUGAAGAGAUGUAGGCCAAUUAUACGCUGUCAUGACAAUGGGCCUUCAUCCAAAUCCCCAGGAAGGCAUCACAGGAGAUCUUCAGAUGGCAACACAAUGCACUCCACCAUCACACUCCCAUGCCCAGAUCUUAGCACCAUUUUACAAUCUAUUUACUGUGAUCUUUGAAGAGAUAAAAUCCACUUGCCCAAUCAACAUGAUCUUUGACCUGAACCCAACAACUAUAUUUUUUUAUCCACUAUUAUUUAUGGAAUACCUAUUAUGUGCCAGAACUUUUCAUAUUUUUCUACUUUAUCUUUCAGACAUGAUUUCAUAAAAUACUUUCAUUUUUAUAAGGAAAUUGAAAGAGGUCAAGUAGUUUGGCCAUACCAGCAGAAGUUGCAUUUGGGAUUUAAAAUAAAUUUAUUCUAUUCCAAAGUGCAUAUAUGUGAAAUAAAUAAUUUUUCAAAAAUUUGUCAUAUGAGGAAAAAUCUAAUAUUGUGGAUUCUUGCUAGGUUAACAACAUCAUUAAGAUUUUUCUGUAGUAAGUAAGACUAAUAGCUCUUUUAUUUUUAGACAGUAAUUUUGCAGUCAUGGUAUCCCCAUAAUUUCUAAUAUUAUUUCUCCUGAAUUCACUAGGUAGAUAGAAAUUCAUUACAGUAAAAAGCAUUUAGCUGCAGGUGUACUGGAAGCAAUCAUUCCAUUUUCCUCACACUGCACACGUGCUGCUAAUUUUGUUUUUGUAUUGACAGUCAACAUGAAAAAUGUUUAAUAGUCAAGGUAACAGGGAAAAUCAAAUCAAAGUUCCUCUUGAAUAUUACUUGAGAGAAGUUAAUAUUUUCAGGAUCCAGUUCUUAAUGCUUAAAGACACUAAAAAUAUUAAAAGUCAUGGAGUAUGGAAAAAUCCAUAAAUUCUUGUGAAGCCUCGUAAAAUUAUUUUCCUGGUAGGUGAACAAAGGGCUGAACGAUGCCCAGAUAUACAGGUGAGAAGUCCAUCCCAUUUGUUCAUCUGGAGAACCCUUCCUAGUUGAAUAUGCACGGUAAUAAUUGGUCACUUCUCCAUCACUGUGCUUCUUCCAGAAGCUAUGAGGUGGGUUUUUUGGUUUUGUUUUGGUUUUUGGGUGUGUAGCUACGGGAAAUGGUUACACGGAGCUACACAUUAUUCAGGUUAAUCAUGAGAGCACAGAACAAUUUGCCAUUCCAGUCUCUUGAUGGCCCAGAUUUGAAGUGUCUGCAACUCUGUCCUAACAGCCGCUGGCAUUGUGUAUAAGAGGCCAUCUGGCAAAACUUAAAGUAGGUGACAGUUUUUCCUCCCAUUCUUUUCUCUACCACGUGUGUUACAGUUUCUUUCUUCACUCAGAGCACUUUCUAUUAAUAUGCAGGCCCUCUUGUCAAAGGGAGAAAAUCUGGUCUUUAAAACCUUGCUGUAAGUUAGUUACUCAUCUACCUUUCCCUGAGGUCUGCAUUUUAAGAUAGAAACCCGUAAUGGAACCUGAAUUAACAGCCUUCUGUGGCCGGGACCCGGAGGAUCCAGUCGAAGGCAGAAGACCUGGAGCUCCCUGCAGGGUCCAGUGUGAGUCUAUGUCGGGAAGCAAAGAGUCUGCCCUGGGAGAUGGAAGGAACCGGAGAUGAAUGUCCACAGGCAGGGACAAAGCCCGCAGCUUCUUUGGAGAAGAAAAGAGCAGACUCCCUUCUUUUCCUUUUUAUUCUGUCCAGGCUACAAGUCUAUUGGUUGGUGCCACCCACAUCCGGGGCGGGUCUUCCCUCCUCAGUUUGUGGCCUACCUGUCAAUCAUCCAGAGACACGCGCAGGGCUUUACUGAUUUGCUAGGUGGCUCUUACUCAAGUGAAAGUGCCAUAUCCCAAUUAACGAUUACAUCUAAUAAUGUUCAGAUAAAACGUAUUUUGUGCAAUUGGACUGAUAAAACAUGCAAAAUAUAGCUAUGAGGUCUGCUUGAGAUUCAUAUUUAGUCACAAGAAGCAAGAAUAAUUUCUUCAUUCAAUAAUACUUAGAGAACACUGACUAUGAUGCAAGAAUUUCAGGCACUAGGAGUAUCAUAGUGAUCAAAAUCAAAGGUCUCUGCUGUCCUGGAGCACAUGCUCUACAGGGAAAAUGAACAGUGAGGAUGCACAAGGCUAGAAGAACAAGCUAAAUGGCACCUGCCCAGACAAGGCCUUCAGAGGGACUUUCCAUGGGUUCGCAGCAGUUAAAUGCAGAAGUACAAACUGGGGGGCUGAAUCCACUCUGGGUUAAAAGAGCCUUACCACCAAAUAUGGAUUUUAUAGCAGGAAAAUGUAAUGCAUAGGUCUGGUCUGAAUUCUGAUUCAAAAAAUAUGCAUUCAAGAGACAAUAUCAGGGGAUCGUUGACAUCUGUUCUGUAGUAAUUGUAGUGUGAUUAGGGACAAAAAAACCCCUUAUAUACUGCUUAGAGCUGAACUCUGAAUUAUGUAAGAUAGACAUUAUAUACUGUCUGGAAAGAAAAAGAAAAAAUGUAAAAUUCUUGUGGAAAAAUCUGAUAAUUAUUUAAUUUGGUUGAUGAGUAUAUAGGUGUUCAUUGAACUAUUGUCUUUUCUUUGCAAACUAAUAUUUUAUAAUACAAAUUAAAAAUCAAAAUGACAAUGAAAAUGUGUUAUUGUGCAUAUUUAUCAUGUGCACAAUGUGCAGAGCAAAAGAAGGAAUGGAGACAAUGGGUUUGUUUUCUAAGCUCCCAAUUUAUCAACCUCACUUUGAUAUUCUUUCUGGUAUCUUUAAACUGAGCCGGUGGCUAUUUUAUCAAGCUGAAUCUCUAAGGAAUAUGCUAUUCACAGAUCACCUUUGGAAGAUUUUACGUUUGAAUAUAUUCUUUGUUAGAUUAACAAAUAGUUUCUGGAAGGACUCAGUGAAGAUAAUGAAAAAAUCUAUAGAAGAAAGAUGAUAUGACAGAAAAACCCAAGUGGAGGAAAAUCUCAGGGAAUGAGAUGCAUUUUACCUCAUCCUGGGUGAAACGGGAGGCCGAGAUAAUGCCCUCGUGGAGAGCAGACACAAUGAAGUUGUCGUUGUUGAUUUAAAUUCCCUUGCACGGUGAAAAGUGUGUGGAAUUGGAAGAGAGGCGACCAGUCAUGAAGACACUGCUGACGAGAGGGCCGUCAGCUCGCACGGGGAUGGUGGCAGUGGCGAUGGAGAGACGCGGGUGGAUCAGGAGCAUGGACAGGAGUUGCGAGGUCCAGCGAUCGCCUAGGGCCUAUUCCCUCAGAACCUCCCCCGUUGGCCAUGCCCUGCGGAAGAGCUCAAGAAUCACACUCCUUCCUGGGCCUCAGAGAAGGAAGAUGGCUUUUAGGGAACAGGUGUCUGCCCACCCUAGGGCAGCAGGCAAAUCAUUCAACAGCUUUUGCUCCCAGCCCUGGGCGUCCUUAAGGUGGCUCCAAAUGGGUCCCAACCACCUUUUAGGCAUCAUCGAAUCAACGCCGGAGAAACAUUUUGACGAUUUUGUUGCUUGAUGUCCGUCUAAAUGGCGCACGUGCUCCUGACUCUGCAGAGGAGAUGCUGGACCCUGGGCCCGCCUGAUCCCAUGGGAACUGAGUGAGCCACAGGCCAGUUUCCUAGGCACUGACUGCACCAAGGGAUUUGGUGGUCUACAAAAUAUCGUAAUUUUGCCAGCCCUUGAGAAAACUGGAAUGCGUUUUAUCCCUCUUCUCUGGACAGCACUCCUUCUGAGACGUCUGUCCACCACGCAGGCACAACUCCCUGUUCAUUUACUCAGGAAUCAAAGAGCAAAGAAAAGAGUAAUAUCAUUGCUUGUGAUGAAUCCAGGUUGCAGAAUGCUGUCAGUUCUGGACACGUGUGCAUAUGAGCUCUCGUAUCCUGGAGUAACUCCCACAGCAGCACUGCCAUGGUGCUCCUCCUACACUGAGCAUUACUUGUAAAGUGCAAGCGCUUGGGAAGAACUGUGACAUGUGAUGAAUCUGGUCAGCGUCAGCGCACUCCUACCGCUGCCUGGCCGCCCUUGUUCAGACACAGGCAGAGAGUAGACAACAGGCAGACAUGCUAAUGCGCAUUCUGCGGUGACCAUCAAGAAGGCAGAGAUAAGGCUCACCACAGGGGACAGUGAAGAAAACUUCGAGUAAUGAUGACAGUAUAUGAGGUGGGAUCAAACUAGCAGAUGUUUACAUUGUUUUAAAAAAUUAGUGCAAUAAAAGAUACAUUGCCAUUAACCCUCCUCAAAAUAUCCUCGCCUCCACUUCAAACACUCUUGGCCCUCUGCUCUUGCCACUUUCUGAGGCAGUUCUGGAAGUCCUCUUCCAUCCGUGUCAGUAGUUGUACUACUGUGACUGCCUCGAUGUCCUGAAUCAGUUCAAAACAUGUACUAUUCAUGGUCAUUUUGACCUUUGGAGAAAAGCCAGAAGUCACACAGUGCCUGAUCCAGUGAGUAAGGGGCCGAGGACACAGCACUGUGUUUACAGACCCGUGUUUCUGUCGGAUGCACUUGGCAGCAACAUUCACCACUUUUUGAUCAAACUUCCUCAAGACCCUCAUGAAGAGGACUUCCAGAACUGCUUCAGAAAGGUGCAAGAAUGGUGGGAAAGUGCAUUUAAAACUGGGGAAAUAUUUUGAGGGGGAUUAGCUUCAAUAUGUCUUUUACUGAAAUUAUUUUAAAAAUAAUUUUAAACAUAGAUCAUAUCUUUGGUCAUAACUUGUGAUGAAAUGAUGAGAAAAUAAAUGUCAUAGAGCUAAACGAUAGGAGCCUGGAUGUAGCAAGGCUGUCUAAGGCCAAUUGCUCAAGUCAUUUACCACAAAGAAUUCAAAAGGAGGAGAAACACUGACCCUCAUAGUAGAAUUUUGCUAUAGACCUGAGCAAAACCAUCACCAUUGGCAAUAUUUCAACACACUCAAUGUUGCAAGAAUGAGGUGAGACAUUGACAAAGAAAUCCAGAAACACAGUGGCUCAAACAAAACAGAUGCUUAACAGAGCCGGAGGAGCUGCUGAGCUCCCCAGGAGCCCAGGUGCUUUCCACAUUGUUGCUCUGCUGUUCCCAAGGUUAGCCUUGAGGGUUGGGUGGGAUCUAGCUCAGGACCCUUGUUUUCUAGGCUGUAGGAUGUAAGGAAGUAAACAAUAAGUGAUUUUCUCCUUUCAAGAGCAGAAGUGGGGUUGCACACAUUACUCCUCCUCAAUCAUCAUGAGGAGGAAACCAAGCACAUGGGCACAGAGGGCUGCGAGAAAGGCCUCAGGCUGUCAUCUCUGGUUGAGUGGCUGCAUCUUGAGGGGAAAAUAAUUCCUCAAAGGGAAGAGAAAAGAAACUAGGAGAUAAAAGUCCCCGCCCCUGCAUGGCAACAGUUUUGUGUAAUGAAAUUCCAGGUUAGAAUGCAGGAUAUGGUUCCAGGAUAGUGGAAUAGAGUAAGAGAGAGGUUUCUGGCAAAGAAAGGACAUUUAUAAGGAGAAGCCAGGAUGUCUUGCUCUGCAUGUGACUAUCCUCCAUGGUGCUGAUGUCCUACUGGUUUAUUAGGUCACUGUGAGUCAGUUUCAGGAUGCAAGUUCUACUUCCCUUGAAUUUUCUGGCAGGUUAGGGAGUAGUUGGCCAAGUCCCUGCAGAAUCUGACAGAGCUAAAGGAAAUCAAUUUGGUUUUACUUUCUUCAGACUUCUGUGAUAGGACAACUAUGCAAAUAUGUAUCUAAUUGUUUCUUACACUUUUGACUCUGCUUGAACGCCCACAGAUUAAACUCUAAUUCUUUUGGAGCAAACGACAGGUAAUAAAUCUAAUCUAUCUAGAGAAAUCUGUUUCAUCAAUAUUUGCCAAUAGAUAUACCACCAGUGUUUCUGGCUUGGGAACUAUAUAGAAACUAUGCCCCAAAUUAGCACUGACAUAAGGUACUCUCAGAACAAGUUGCACCAAGCUUUUUACCUUACUUCUAUUGCUAAUAAUAUGGAUUUAGUCUAGAAGAAAAGUGAGCGAAUUAAAUAAAUUUUCAAAAGUCCUGCCUGAAAGUUAAGAGUAACGAUUCCUGUGUGGUUGUUUUUUGGAUCAGAUUUGCGGUGAUAACGGCUGAGAACUUUCCAUCCUCAUACAAGCUGGGUCUCAAAUUCCUAAGGAAACUCCUGCAGAGCCGCGCUGUUUGCUUUUGAAAGAUCAUAUCCUGACUUGCCUAUGGAGCCUUUGGUCGGAGGUGGGAUAAUUUUUGCAGCUGGGGGGAACCUAUACCUUGCUGGGGAAAAUCAGCAUGAAACAAUUAAUCACUCAUCCAAAAAUAAGAAUCCUAACCGAAGGGUGUUCACCGAUGAAAGAGCAAAGAAAACAUGUGCAGAGACAGUCUUCCUUCUGAUAGGCAGUGAUUUUUAAAGCAAAUUCUUCAUGUUUGGGAGUUGCUUCUUUCUUUGCUUUUUAUUAAACAGAGUUUUGUUUUCCUGAGUAAAAAAGAAUCUUAUUUUCAAAGGGCUGUUAUCCUGCUGCUUGCUCCCCAUAUGAAAUUAUCUUGCAGAGUAACAGGGCCUGGUGUUCUGGAAAUUGCAUAUGGGAUUUCUUAGUUUAAGAUCAAAGUCCUGUGACUGGAAGUUCACAAGAGUCACUCUUUUUCUUUCUAUUCAUACUUACAUUUUUAUUUUUCAAAACCAAUGCAUCAGAAAUUAUAUAUUUUAUGGAAAAUGAUAUGAUGUUGUGAAAUAUGUACACAUUACGGCAUGGCUGAACCAAGCUACUUAACACAUGCAUCCUCACAUGCUUACUAUGAUUUUGUGGUGAGAACACAUAAAAUCUAUUAUCUCAGUAUGUUUCCCAUCAGUCACUGCCUUGAAAUUGAACAGUUUUCAUAUAUCUUCUAAAUUUAACAUUUCAAAUUUGGCUUUCAUAAAAUAUUUUAGUUAUUAUGUUAGUACUUAACUGAGGAAUAGCUCAAACUUGGUACAUUCAUUUGUACAUUCUGAAUUAGUGGAAAGAGUUUGGGGUUAUAAAUGGGGAUGUAGAGCCACACCUCCUCCCAAUCAGAGGCAAACUCUGCUGCCAUGACAAAGGAGAAGCCAGCAGCUUCAGGGUGCGUGGUCAGUCUGUAAUGACAUUAGUACUGUCUUCGCAGGGGCCAGCUCACUGGAGUUCUAGCUCUAUUGUUCGCACUGAACUUUUACCUUUCCACAGAGUUAAAUGCAUUGCCAGUGUCCCAGUGUAUUCAGAAUUAAGCUGCCCUUACCUAUUCAGAGUUAGUAAAAAGAGACUUAUAUUUUGUCCUAGUAUUUUAUUUUCUACAUGAUUUCUCUCUCUUGGAAUUUAUUUUGGUAUAUGGUGUGAAGAGAUGAUCUAAAAUGAUGUUUCUCUGAAAUAGUUGCCUCAGUUGUCUCUUCUUUCACAUUUGAUUUUAUUUCUUUGUAAUAUAUAACAUUAUUAAAAUUAAUAUAAUUUCAAACAAAUAUUUCUGACAUUUCUUGUAUAUAUCCUACUUUAUCGAUGUGUCUGUUUUUGCAUCAACAGUAUGUCUUAAUUAAAGUGCCUUAUGGUAUGUUUUAAUAUAAAGUUGGGCUACUUCCAAAUGAAUGCUCUUUAGUGAGAGAAUUUAUGUAAAACUCCUAUAUCUAUCUACGUGUCCCCAUGUGGAUGCACACAGCAAUUGGGAGAUUUUCUAUGGCACCAUCCUAUCCUGUCUUGGACCUUAGCCUUCAUCCAGAGGAGCACUGUGUGUGCUGUCUCCCACCAAGCCAGGGGUCUGAGCAACUUUAGCAUCUACACUAUUCCAUUAGUGUUACCUCCACACCUACCAGUUAGCACCCAAUCUAGCACUGCCUAUACCUGCUCACUGCAUGCUGCAUUGCUAGUUUUAGAGUCAUGAUUUUUUUUUUUUUUUUGGUACCAGGGAUCGAACUCAGGUCCUUGUACUUGCGGUGCAGGCAGCAGAAACACUGAGCUAAAUCCCCAGCCCUUAGGGUCAUAAUAUUAAAAAAGUUAAUAAUGUCUGAAUUUUUACUUAGGGACCAAAAGUUGAUUGUGUUUUAACCUAUACUCAACUUUCUUUCAGAUAUAAAAUAUUCUUCUCUAAGAAGGAGAAAGGUAUAGUAUUUACUUGAAUUAGUAUCAUGCCUAUGUGGUCCAACUGAGAGGUGAAGAAAACAGGCUGAGGAGGGACUUUCUGAAAUUUAGAUCAGAUAAAAUACUUUAUUUGUACAAAAAGCAAUUAGUAAUAAUUGGACUUUUUAAACUCACAAACAAGACUAAAGACAGCAAAACAUAUGAGAUAAUAAAAAUAUCCAUUAUCCACUCCACAUUAUUUGUAAUAACUUCAAAUGAUAAAAGAUUACAUUAAAAAUCCAAUUUAGGGGCCAGGGAUUUAGCUCAGUGGUUCCACCGCCUGCCUUGCAAGCACAAGGACCCAAGUUCGAUCCCCAGUACUCCCUGCCAAAAUAAAUCCAAUUUAAAAAAUUUUUAUUGCAUAUAAAUUGACAAAUUACAUUUGUGUAUAUGUACUGGGUACAAAGUGAUCCUAAGAUUUAUGGAUAUGAGGAGUCAUUAAAUUAAACUAAUUAAUAUAUCUAUCACCUCAAAUGCCAUAUUUUGGUGGUAACAUUUGAAAUUACUGUUACUGAUUUUGGUAUGACAAAUAAAUUUUAAUUGAUUUAGACACAAUGGCCAUGUGUAUGUUCCCUUUUUAGGUUGGAGUUAUUGGAAAAAAUAAGGCAUACAAUAAAGUUUUGUGAUUUUUUAAUAAAGUUUGGUACUUGGUUUAAGAAAAUGUUUCUCAGUCGUGAAGGUAUAGGAUCAAACCAAAUGUCCAUUAACAGAUGAAUGGAUAAAGAAAAUGUGACUAUAUAUGUGAUAAAAUAUCUCAACCAUACAAAAUAAAAUUUUGCAGCAACAUGGAUGGAAUUGGAGAACAUUAUGUAGGUAAAUAAAUCAAACACAAAAUGACAAAUACUGCAUAUUUUCACUGCAUAUGGAGGCCAGAAGGUUGACCUCAGAGAUACAGAGUUGCAGAGUGGUACCUGGAAUGCAGGCCUGGGAAGGGAGUGGGUAGCUGAAGGAUGGUUCAGGGGUAUAGGGCCGGCUGGAGAGGAGCGAUAACCCAACAUUCUCUAUUGUACAGCAGGACAGCUAUAGUUGACAAUAACUAGUUGUAUACUGUAUUUCAAAAUAGCUAGUAGAAAGGAUUUCGAGCUUUCCCAACACAGAGAAGUGGUGAGUGUUUCACAGGAUGGAGUUGUCAGCUAUCCUGAUCUGAUCAUAAUACCUCACACACGAGCAUUUAAAGAAAUAUGUACAAUUAUUAUGUGUUAAUUAAGAACAAAUAAAAUGAAAUGCUGCAAAGAAGUGUUUUUUGUCUAUGGCAUGCUAGAACAGAAGUAUUAUUUUAGUUCAUGAUAACAAUGAUUUUCCAGAGGAAGAAAUAUGAGAAAAAGUAUAGGGAAGGUCUAUUUGCCUAAGUAUGACACGAUUAAUAUGAUUUCAAAAGACAUUAGGGAUUUUUAUCUAUCUUGUCUUGUUCCAAACAAGGGGAUACAGAGGAAAAAGGAUGAAAAUCCCUCAUAACAAGUCCCACAUAUCGAUCUUGGUUUAACCUUUAAAAGGAAGCAUUCCUAUUUUCAUUAUGAAACUAUAAUAUCUUCCAACUAAGGGAUUCAGAGCAAACGUUCAUUCCCGAGCAUGGCUUUCUGAUUUCCCACGGCCUGUGGCAGGGUGAAGAUGCUCAGGCUGCAGGCUGAGCAUCCAGGAGGGCACAGAGAGGGGUUUCUCAGGCUCACGACGGAUUACCAGAGACCAUGGAUUACCAGAGACCACAUCUUUCCACACAUCCCCAUCACUGAAGAGAUCACUCGGGCUGCGAAUCACUGUAGAAAUGGAGGACGAGGAACAAGCAAGGGGAUGUGGUGCAGAGAUGACUCUGGAGAGCUGAUAACUAAAAAGGCACAAGGCAGAAAGACAGCUUGUGAGAACCCACUGACGCUUCACAGCCGGUCUUAUCUUCUGAGAGCUGGAGAACUCUUGGGUCCUUUCCCAAAGUUCCCUGUUAACUUUCACUGACACUGAGGUUUUCAUGCCACGGACUUAACAUCUUCAAGAUCAAAUAGAAAAUAGUAUUUCAAUCAUAAGGGUGAACUUCAGCAUAACUUGGCAGCUUUCAAGUCUCAGAAGUUAAAUGGGUCUAGGAUUUAUAAACGCCUCAUUACAGAGGAUCAGGGAUUGAAAUCUCUAACUGGUCCUCAGGGCUUCAGGGUGUUACCAUCUAAAGGGCAGUGGCUUUUGUUAAAGCAUGAUUAGCUGCUCCAUCAUUAAAAGUCAUUUUGAUUGUGAAAUGUUCUUGUAUAGAUUUAGAAGAGACAAAACAGGUUAAAAAAACUAUAGCACACUUAGUAUUGACCAAUUAGCAUUAAGUAUUUUUUCAGUUGAAGAGAGUUGAUUCUUAGACAAUAUCAAAAGGAUUUUACUUCACUGCCAUCUUAAUUAAUGACUGCAUUCAAGGAUGUUUUAAAAAUUUGAAUUAUUUAAAAUAUCUUCUUGGCAAUAUUUAAUUUCCUAUCCCAAGAGCCUCUGAGAAAUAUUUUAAAUUUGUGUAACAGUCUGCAAUGACCUUUUAUUUCUUUAAAGGUCCUGGAUUUCAGCUUCCUGCUAAGCGUGUAUCCCUGAGGCACUGACCCUGGCUGGCUCACCUCCUGUUCAGCAUCUGGGCCAAGGCCCUGGGAUUCUGCCACCAUGAGGGACAUCGGAGGCAGUGGCACAUGCUGGCAUUUGGGGACACCAGCCAGAGCAGCUGCUGCUCCGCAUCUCCUGUCAAGGGUAGGCCACAGCAGCCUGGAAAGCCUCAGUCCUCCCUUUUCACACCAUCCCACUGCUUUCUGCAAUUUCUCUGCGGUGACACACACGGUAGCUCAUUUACGUGUGCUGGAAAAGGAUGUAGCAGAUGGCUGAGGCAGCAUCUCUUUGUUGAAUUAUAGUCAAUCUUGAAUAGCAGCUACUAUUACUAUCUUGGAUAUCUAAAGGCCUUUGUUGAAGUGUGGAGCUUAAAUGCUUCAAUAGUUUUUCUGCCGAUGAUUUGAUUCUUUGACUUUUAUAUUCUGAAUUAAAUUUCAGAUAUUUUGUUGAGCCAGUGGCUUGACAAUUAUUUUUCUAAAAGAAAAAGUUAUUUUUCUACAGUUUGGCUUUAGAAAUAUCACACGUGCUUUUACUUUAGGACUUGAUUUAGGGUAUUUGAAAAGUAUAACUUUACAAUAACUAUUACUUAAUAUUACAGAAUUAUGGUUAAGCUUUAUUCUGGAUAUAAGAUUAAAAGGUAAAGAUGAGUGGAUGCACAUUUUGUUCAGGUUUGACAUUUCUCUCUCUCACAGGAAGAGUGAUAAUGUAUAGAGUAGGAGGGUUACAGGGAACUGUACAGAAUGACAAUUCAGGAAGAAGUUGUGUUUCCAAUUAAUGACUGUUAGAUUAAAAGGCCUACUGAGAAAACUUGGGCUGCAUGAUACGACACCAAUGUGCCAAGCCAGUGGAACAGCGUAACGAAAUCCAUAAAACCUGAAUGUUGAAGCAGGCAUUAUCACAGUUGGUAAAAUUGCCAUGGCUGAAAUGAUUAGAAGGAAUUAUGGGCAGUCCAGGGAAAUAAAAUUAAAAUGAAAGGACUAUAAACAUUGUGUGGUUCCAAGUAUAAGCCAAAACAGUAAUCAGGCAAAACUGUAGAACUAUUGAGGGCAAAAAUAAUUUUUUAAAAAUGUGUUUUCCUUAGUACAAUCCCUAGAAUGAUAGAUCUUUUUCCCCCAGAUGAGUGCAGAUUUCCCAAUGGAAACUGUUUACUUGACAAAAUGACACUGUUUAGCACAGGUAGCGUGGAUUUGUGGAGUGGUUGUUAACGUUAGACAGCAUUGGAGUUGUUAUAGUCGAAGUAAUGCGAGAGAUUUUUAUAAUUUGUAUUUCAACAGAACAAGGCUAAGAAAAGAAGUAGAAGAUCGAUGGACCUAAUUUUAAGUUUAGUCAACUUUGAAAAAAGUCUGUUGAAUAUUAAAAAACCCUAAAAACAUUAAAAAUAGAAAUUUCAUUUGAUCCAGCUAAUUCCUUCUAGAUAUCUUCCCAAAAGAGUUUAACGUCACCAUAUUAUAGGGAUACAUGCAUAUCCAUGUUCAUAGCAGAGCAUUUCUAAGAGAGAGAUCUUGGAAAUGGUGUAUACGUCCAUCAGCAGAUGGACGGAGAAAGAUGUGGUAUUUAUACCCAACAGGGUACUGUACUACUCUGCCAUAAAGAAAGAUAAACUUGAAGCAUUCGUAGGCAAAUGGAUGCAUCUUGAGAACAUAAUGUUAAGUGAAAUGAAUCAGACACACAAAAUUUAUGAUUUUGAAAGCAUGUUUGACUUAAAGCUGUGUUUGCAGCAUACAGACAUCCCUCGUUUAGCAACUGAGUUGCAUUGUGUGCAUUACAGUAUUCAAGAAAACGGUCAAAGAAAUAGCCAACAGGAUGACUUUGCUUUUAUUUGCAUAACUCUUACAUGCAGCACUGUAAUGUAUAACAGAUCAUAAAACUAUAGGACUGUGCUGUAGAAGAAGCCACCAUAAGGCUGCACUGCUCCUCACGUUCCUAUCCUGUAAGUGCAGGUCGUUAAGUCUGAGCAGUGCACCUAGGGUGAAGGUCUGAACAGUUGCUAACCAGGUAGGUCACUAAAUAAGGAACAGCUGUAUUUAUAUUUUCUAUUCUUGUUGAGUAUUUUCAUCCCAGAAAAUUUCAUAAAACCUGUUUUCCAGUAGGUAAGAAGUUUAUUUGGAGUUAUUUUUUCACUAUGUCUUGUCUCUUUUUUUGAAGCACAACUCUAAAGGUAAAGAAACUUCGUAUCACUAGGAAGCUUGGGGUGAAUGGACACUGCUUAGGUCUGAGAGACCUGUGUUCAAAUCUGGUAUCUACCCAUCUCAAUUUAUUCCUUGAUAUAGUUGAUUGGAUCUCUGAGGUCUUUUAUUUUUCUUGAAAGUUUUAACUUUCUGAUGAUCUAGAGUUGCUGACCUUUCAACAUAAACAUGAAGGUCUUCUUAAGGUAUAAGAGAAGUAUUUUUAGUUAUUUGAAAAUGAGUAAGAGAAAGCCUUUGAAUAUUUGGGCCUUUCUUGCAAAUUAGAGAGAUUUCCCAUUUUAUCUGCCCUUACUUCUGUUAUCCGUAAUUGGAUUUACUGGAUUUAACAGGAACAAAGAAAUAUUUAUGAACUGGUUCAUCUCUGUUUCUUUCUCUGGAAAAGACAAGAAGAUCAUUAAGCUACACAUGACUUGUCACUCAAGGAGGAGAUGUGCUUUCCUCUCCAGAAGUUCAGGGUUAACUUGCCUUUCUAUCAUUUGUAAUCUCCAGAUAUAUAUAGUCAGUAAGUCUGGGUAAACAGUGUGCAGGAUAUUCAGGGUUUGAUAUGGAAAUUGAGACAGUCCAAAAUGCUUAGAUCUAAUGAAUCAGAAACUUAAAUUCCAGUACCAGAGAUGGGUCUUUCUGUCCCCUUCAGUUGGAUAAAAGUUUUCUAAAUAUUAUCCUUAAGUCAGAUAGAAAGUAUAAUAAGUUUCUAGGACUUAGAAUCCUGCCAUUUUGGUUUGAAUUAAAUUAAGAAUGGGGUAAAGGAAAUUAAAAGUCUGAAUUUAAUUUCUAUAGGAAACAGUUCUUAUUUUCAGAGCAAAAUUGGACUCAAUGGGAAAAAAGUAAGCAUGUAUCUUUCUGUUGAUUUAUAAAUUACUGAAACUUGAAUGAAAGGCCAGUUGAUAGAAAACGACUAACUGAAGAUAAAAUUCCAACUUCAGCAAAUUUUGAAUCUCAUAUACGAAUUGAUCAAAUUUCUGAGUAGGAGGCUAUUCUGAGGGAAGCAAAACCAAGCAAAUUCUUACAAAAUAAUAGGUAAAUCAUGGCCAAGAGAGUGAGUGCUACUGGGAAUAAAAAACAAAACAAAAGCCCAUUAAAAUGUGAAACCUCAAAAAAGCAAACCACAUUAGAAAAGAAAAAUGUUCCCAAGCCACAAAUAGGGUGUUCAAGAGAAACAUCUCAGAAGCCCAGUGACGACUGCACAUUUUUCAGUUAAAUAUGAAGAUUAUCACCCGUGUGGUGGUUAGACUAUUCUUACAAGUAGUUUCUCAGUGCCUAAAACUGUCACUUUGAUGUAACAGCUAACAAAAUUAAUAUUUAAAGAAAGGUCUGGUUUUCAAUAGUAAGAAUAAAUAUUUGAUAUAAAGUAAUUUGGCACCUUCACUUUUUUAUUAAUUUUAUUGGUACAUUUUAGGUAUACAAUAUAGUGACAUUCAUCAUUGGAAAUCUGCACCUUCACAUAAUCUCUCUAGGUUCUUAUUUUUCCCC